rnacentral:lncRNA from 1 species
GAAAAAAUGGGUCGGCAAUUUGUUAUCGUUGCGAUCUGCAUCGUCCUCGUCGCCGGCGUCGGAGGUCAAGCUCCGUCUUCACCACCAACAGCUACACCAGCACCACCGACUCCAACCACUCCCCCACCAGCAGCAACUCCUCCUCCUGUCUCAGCUCCUCCACCAGUCACCACUUCACCUCCUCCAGCCACCACCGCUCCUCCUCCGGCUACUCCUCCUCCCGUCGCUACCCCUCCUCCAGCAACUCCUCCUCCCGUCGCUACCCCUCCCCCCGUCGCUACUCCUCCUCCAGCAACUCCUCCUCCCGUCGCUACUCCUCCGC